rnacentral:rRNA from 1 species
UACAGAGGGGGCAAGCGUUGUUCGGAAUUACUGGGCGUAAAGGGCGCGUAGGUGGCCUUCUAAGUUGAACGUGAAAUCCCUGGGCUCAACCCAGGAACUGCGUCCAAGACUGGGAGGCUUGAAUCCGGGAGAGGGAUGCGGAAUUCCAGGUGUAGCGGUGAAAUGCGUAGAGAUCGUAAGGAAGGCCAGUGGCGAAGGCGAGUUCCUGGACAGUUACUGACGCUGAGGCACGAAGGCCAGGGGAGCAAACGGG